CAGUCGCCACGGUAAUACGUAGGUCCCGAGCGUUGUCCGGAUUUAUUGGGCGUAAAGGGCUCGCAGGCGGUUUCUUAAGUCUGAUGUGAGAGCCCCCGGCUCAACCGGGGAGGGUCAUUGGAAACUGGGAAACUUGAGUGCAGAAGAGGAGAGUGGAAUUCCACGUGUAGCGGUGAAAUGCGUAGAGAUGUGGAGGAACACCAGUGGCGAAGGCGACUCUCUGGUCUGUAACUGACGCUGAGGAGCGAAAGCGUGGGGAGCGAACAGGAUUAGAUACCCCAGUAGUCCCUGUCUCUUAUAA
rnacentral:rRNA from 1 species